CCUACGGGUGGCAGCAGUGGGGAAUAUUGCGCAAUGGGCGAAAGCCUGACGCAGCGACGCCGCGUGAGGGAUGAAGGUCUUCGGAUCGUAAACCUCUGUCAGCAGGGAAGAACGGUCACUGUGCUAAUCAGCAGUGAAUUGACGGUACCUGCAAAGGAAGCACCGGCUAACUCCGUGCCAGCAGCCGCGGUAAUACGGAGGGUGCGAGCGUUAAUCGGAAUUACUGGGCGUAAAGCGCUCGUAGGCGGUAUGUCAAGUCAAGGGUGAAAUCCCCGCGCUCAACGUGGGAACUGCCUUUGAAACUGGCAAACUGGAGUGUGUGAGAGGUUAGUGGAAUUCCAGGUGUAGGAGUGAAAUGCGUAGAUAUCUGGAGGAACAUCAGUGGCGAAGGCGACUAUCUGGCACAUAACUGACGCUGAGGAGCGAAAGCGUGGGUAGCAAACAGGAUUAGAUACCCGAGUAGUC
rnacentral:rRNA from 1 species